UUUCCACAAUCCCGCGUUCUCUCUAAUAUUUUCCGAAACCUAACCGCUGCCUCUCCUCCUCCUUCUAUAAUCCGUUUUCUAAUCUACAGUGACUGCAACUCCAGCCAAGGAAGCCAUUGUGACUCCAGCCGAGGCAGCUUGGCGAUUCUAGCUGUGACUCCAACUCCAACUCCUUCGGUUUCCUCUCCCAUCUCAGGUAACGUUUGUCCGUCUUCUUCCUUCUCUUCUCCUUUUAUUUUUGUUUGCUUUUGAUUUCUGCUACUACUACUGUGUUUUACUCUAUUUCGAAUGGUUCUUCGACAACCUUUUUUUUUUUUUUUGGAUGAAUUCUCUUUUCUAAGUCUGCCAAACAACCGUGCGACCACCACGAGGUUGGACCGUUGGAACCAACGAUGGGAACGAUCCUUACUGCUCGACCUAUACGAGUCUCAUCGGAGCUGUUAAUCAAGGAUACAGAGUUGUAGAAAAUGGAUAGCAAUCAUGUGGACGUUGCUUCUACGAGUGCGGUUGCAUCGGACAAUCAUCGUAUGAAACGUGGUCAGUCAAGGGGAUUGGCUACAACUUCUUUGCCAAGUGGCCAAAAGAUAAAAGUUAGGAACAAUCAUUUGUGCUUUUUUCUCUUAUGUAUUUAUAGUGUGUGAAUGUUAUGUAUCAUUGAAUACACUUUCAUAACUUGUGGCACUGCCUUAGUGAACAUUUUUAAAAAGGAUAUAGCCUUGGUCCAUUUGAGAUAAUGCCAUUACUAUGUCCAAAUGUAUCUACUAUGUUUGCUUUGAAAACUGAAUCUGGUUCACGAAAAACAUGAAAACCAUUGUCACGGAGGGUCUAGUUCCAGUUAAAAUGAGUUGGUUACCCAUCCAGUUUUUGGAUUAUGGUUAGAAUUUGAAUUUGCAAGCUAUGGUCACCAUUGAUAAACUUUUUUGUUCAAAUAUUUAUCAUGUGGUAGCUUUGAUGGAGGAGGAGGAGGAGGAGGAUUCUUGAUCUCUUCCCAUAGCACCUGACAGCUCUACUGUUUGUUAGUUUAUUGAAGGCAGCGUCUUGUUAAAUUGGGGAAAUAAUAUGGGGCCCCAAAACCUUUAGAUGCAGCCUGCAGAGGCUUUGAUCAACAUUUCACCUCAUUUCUACAAGUUAAUGGAGAUUUUUGGUUUCUUGGUGCUGAUUGGACGUUGAUUCCAGCGGUUUGGAUCUAUAUCUCUCUCGCAUCUUCAAUUCCCGAUAGAAAUCAGGUACAAUAUUAUAUAGAAGUGUGAGAAAAAAUGUUGGCAUGCGCCGCUGCUUCAAAGCAGCUCAGCGGAUCGCUUCAUGAACCAGAAAGUGAGGAGACCAUCGGUACACCAAGCACGAAGCAAACCAUCAAAGGUCUCACCGCUCAGAUCAAGGACAUGGCAUUGAAGGCAUCCGGGGCGUAUCGCCACUGCAACCCAUUUCGGGAUCGACUACACAUCAACAUCGUCCGAACUAUGCCGAGUUCGAGGCUACAUCGGCGUCGGAGAGGUUUCACGGCUCUUACCGUCAAACGGGGACGUUUAGCUCCAGCUCUACGACAAGGCUGUGGGGCAAAGAGAUGGAAGCGAGACUGAAGGGACUAUCUAGCGGUGAAGGGACGCCUCCAUCGGUUAGCAGUCAAACUGAAUCAGUAGUGUUCUUGGAGGAAGAAGAGCCGAAGGAGGUUGCACAGGUUGAGGAGGGUAUAUUUGUAUUCUAAAACUAAAACCUCUCUUAUUGUGUUAGUUUUUUCGGUUUAAAUGUAAUAAAAAAAUUUUUAAGGGGAAUGAUGUCAUAUAGGCAAACACGAGGGGAUGUUGAUGUAAAUCACCCAUUUUUAUUUUAAACUAAAUAAAAGGGUACAACA